rnacentral:rRNA from 1 species
GACGGAGGAGGCGAGCGUUGUCCGGAGUCACUGGGCGUAAAGCGCGCGCAGGCGGCAACCUAAGUGUCGUGUGAAAGCCCCCGGCUCAACCGGGGGAGGCCAUGGCAAACUGGGUCGCUCGAGCUGCGGAGAGGCCCCUCGAAUUGCCGGUGUAGCGGUGAAAUGCGUAGAGAUCGGCAGGAAGACCAAGGGGGAAGCCAGGGGGCUGGCCGCAGGCUGACGCUGAGGCGCGACAGCGUGGGGAGCAAACCGG